GGCGACCGUCGUCUAGCCUGGUAAGGAUUGGGGCCUGUGGAGCCCUAGACCUGGGUUCAAAUCCCAGCGGUCGCCU
rnacentral:tRNA from 1 species